GCGCCUGCAGCUCGGCUGGACGGAGCGUCGGACUUCUGAUCCGAGGGUCGCAGGUUCGACUCCUGCCGGGCGCCCCA
rnacentral:tRNA from 4 species